rnacentral:rRNA from 1 species
UGAACCAGCCAAGUAGCGUGCAGGAAGACGGCCCUAUGGGUUGUAAACUGCUUUUAUAAGGGAAUAAAGUGAGUCUCGUGAGACUUUUUGCAUGUACCUUAUGAAUAAGGACCGGCUAAUUCCGUGCCAGCAGCCGCGGUAAUACGGAAGGUCCGGGCGUUAUCCGGAUUUAUUGGGUUUAAAGGGAGCGUAGGCCGGAGAUUAAGCGUGUUGUGAAAUGUAGACGCUCAACGUCUGCACUGCAGCGCGAACUGGUUUCCUUGAGUACGCACAAAGUGGGCGGAAUUCGUGGUGUAGCGGUGAAAUGCUUAGAUAUCACGAAGAACUCCGAUUGCGAAGGCAGCUCACUGGAGCGCAACUGACGCUGAAGCUCGAAAGUGCGGGUAUCGAACAGGAUUAGAUACCCUGGUAGUCCGCACGGUAAACGAUGGAUGCCCGCUGUUGGCCUGAAUAGGUCAGCGGCCAAGCGAAAGCAUUAAGCAUCCCACCUGGGGAGUACGCCGGCAACGGUGAAACUCAAAGGAAUUGACGGGGGCCCGCACAAGCGGAGGAACAUGUGGUUUAAUUCGAUGAUACGCGAGGAACCUUACCCGGGCUUGAAUUGCAGAGGAAGGAUUUGGAGACAAUGACGCCCUUCGGGGCCUCUGUGAAGGUGCUGCAUGGUUGUCGUCAGCUCGUGCCGUGAGGUGUCGGCUUAAGUGCCAUAACGAGCGCAACCCCUCUCCUUAGUUGCCAUCAGGUUAAGCUGGGCACUCUGGGGACACUGCCACCGUAAGGUGUGAGGAAGGUGGGGAUGACGUCAAAUCAGCACGGCCCUUACGUCCGGGGCUACACACGUGUUACAAUGGCAGGUACAGAGAGACGGUCCAAUGCAAAUUGGAUCAAAUCCUUAAAGCCUGUCUCAGUUCGGACUGGGGUCUGCAACCCGACCCCACGAAGCUGGAUUCGCUAGUAAUCGCGCAUCAGCCAUGGCGCGGUGAAUACGUUCCCGGGCCUUGUACACACCGCCCGUCAAGCCAUGAAAGCCGGGGGCGCCUAAAGUCCGUGACCGUAAGGAGCGGCCUAGGGCGAAACUGGUAAUUGGGGCUAAGUCGUAACAAGGUAGCCGUACCGGAAGGUGCGGCUG